rnacentral:miRNA from 1 species
CAAAAGUGAUUGUGGUUUUUGC